UAGCAUGUAAACUUGUGGCAAGUUUGAUUCUUCUUUGAUUUUAAAUUGCUGCGUCAAAUAUGACGAUGCAAGGUUGUGUCAAGUUUGCUGCAAUAUUGUUAUGACAAAGAUGAUGAUUCAAGUUUGUAGCAACUUUGCUGCAAGCGUACAGUUGCAAAGCCACGUACGUCACGCGUGCCAUCUAUUUGGUUGACUUACAACUUACACGUUACGGUCGGUUCGGUUCGGUUUCGUUCGUUACCCUGACUUGCCCUGACUGAUGUCAUGCCCACGAAAACGAGAGUGUUGCCACUGGUGGUAAAUUUCCCUUUCUGCGAGAAUUUUCAACAUAAAAGGGAAAAAGUUAACUUAUAAGGGAAUCUUUGCUCCAGUCCAAAUUGUAAAAUAUUUAUAAAAAUCAAAAUAUUUGAAAAUAAUUCAACAUAUUUUCACAGAUUUUUUAAAUAGGAGCAUAGGAGGGAAUUUUAUCAUAAAAGUGGGAAUUUUUAAGGUACGUUGAGGGAAAAAGCUUACUCGACAGCUGGCAACACGGGAAAAGUAACCUGCCAUUGCCAUCCUGCCAAGCAGCGGUGAUAAUUUGUGGUUAGGUAUAUCGUAUCCUAUCCUAUGUUGAUAUUUUUCUUUGAUUUUUUUACAUUUACCGUACAAUUCACCGAGACUUACUUUAAUUACUAAGCUGAAGCUUGUUUUCUUCAGUUUUUCAUAGACCCACCUGCUUGUGGUGAUUAGGAUUAGGUAUUCUUUUGGCUUUGGUGAAAUUGAGAGCUGAGAAAAAACUGAGCAUCGGAAUCUGAAGCUAGCGCUAGCGGGUUUAAUGUAAGUUCCAAUAAAUAAUUUUAGACAAUAGAUUGUAUUUUAGUUGAGUGAUUACUGAAUAAAUAGUUAUAUAAAAUGG